UACAGAGGGUGCGAGCGUUAAUCGGAAUUACUGGGCGUAAAGCGUGCGUAGACGGUUUCGUAAGUCGGGUGUGAAAGCCCCGGGCUCAACCUGGGAAUUGCAUUCGAGACUGCGUAGCUAGGGUGCGGAAGAGGGAAGCGGAAUUUCCGGUGUAGCGGUGAAAUGCGUAGAUAUCGGAAGGAACAUCAGUGGCGAAAGCGGCUUCCUGGUCCAGCACCGACGUUCAGGCACGAAAGCGUGGGGAGCAA
rnacentral:rRNA from 1 species